UACGAAGGAUCCAAGCGUUAUCCGGAUUCAUUGGGUUUAAAGGGUGCGUAGGCGGACUUAUAAGUCAGUGGUGAAAUCUCUCAGCUUAACUGAGAAACUGCCAUUGAUACUGUAGGUCUUGAGUACAGAUGAUGUUGGCGGAAUAUGACGUGUAGCGGUGAAAUGCUUAGAUAUGUCAUAGAACACCGAUUGCGAAGGCAGCUGACAAAACUGUAACUGACGCUGAGGCACGAAAGUGCGGGGAUCAAACAGG
rnacentral:rRNA from 1 species